GCAGCCAUGGUGACGCCGCUAUUAAUAGCGAGCAGGUUGGUAUAGUUGCGGCGGAAGACAGGCAGCUCCGUGAUUUUGGAGGUUCCGAACGUGUUUAGUUGCUCCGAGGAAACUGUGUUGAUCAGCGGCGCACUGGCUUCGACACUCACGGUUUCGCUGGUGGCGCCGACUUCGAGAACAUAGGUCUGACGGACGUUCUGCGCGGCUGACAGCUCGAUUCCUUUGCUCUCAAGACGCUUGAACCCUUUGGCUUCGACGCGCAGAGUGUAGCUGCCCACACGCAGAAAAUCGAAAACGGCUUCCCCGAGAGUGUUCGUUGUUUUGGUCGUU
rnacentral:misc_RNA from 1 species